UGCAAGUCGAGCGGACAGAAGGGAGCUUGCUCCCGGAUGUUAGCGGCGGACGGGUGAGUAACACGUGGGUAACCUGCCUGUAAGACUGGGAUAACUCCGGGAAACCGGAGCUAAUACCGGAUAGUUCCUUGAACCGCAUGGUUCAAGGAUGAAAGACGGUUUCGGCUGUCACUUACAGAUGGACCCGCGGCGCAUUAGCUAGUUGGUGGGGUAAUGGCUCACCAAGGCGACGAUGCGUAGCCGACCUGAGAGGGUGAUCGGCCACACUGGGACUGAGACACGGCCCAGACUCCUACGGGAGGCAGCAGUAGGGAAUCUUCCGCAAUGGACGAAAGUCUGACGGAGCAACGCCGCGUGAGUGAUGAAGGUUUUCGGAUCGUAAAGCUCUGUUGUUAGGGAAGAACAAGUGCGAGAGUAACUGCUCGCACCUUGACGGUACCUAACCAGAAAGCCACGGCUAACUACGUGCCAGCAC
rnacentral:rRNA from 1 species